AUUGUAAAAGAGGUGUAUGCAGACACACCUGUGAGGCCUCACAGGGUAGAUGAAAGCGUAGAUCUACAGAGGGUGAGUGAUCUCAGGAGAAUCUCCAAAAUGAGGCACCCACUUCACUGUGGAAGAUUUUUAUCAGGAGCAUUAGAGAGCAUACUUGAGAAACAUUAUCUUAGUCAGUGUUCUGUUGUGAAGAGACACCAUGACCAAGGCAGUUCUUACAAAAUAAAACAUUUAAGUAGAGCCUUGCUUACCGUUUCAGAGGCUUAGUCCAACAUCCUCAUGGUGAGAAGCAUGGCAGCACUCAAGCAGACAUGACGCUGGAGCAAUGGCUGAGAGCUGCAUCUGAUUCAUAGACAGAGAGAGAGGGAGAUGGAAAGGGAGAGGGAGAGGGACAGAGACUGGGCCUAGUGUGCAUUUUAAAAGCCUACUCCCAGUGAUACCUUUUGUCCAACAAGGCCACACCUCCUGGUCCUUUAAAAACAAUGCCACUUCCUGAUGACUAAGCCCCACCAUAAAUUUAAGAGAUUAUGUAGAACAGCAUGGGGAAUUUGAAGUGACUGAAAUCCUGACUUACUGCAGCAGGAUCUAGAAGAGGAACUUUACUUAUGUAACCUUGAUGGCCAUGGCAGCGUAGACAUGACUGUCCAGAAAUAUUGUCCUAUUCACAGUCACAGCUGUAAAGUGAGGAAUGCCUCCUGGAAGCAGGGCGUGCCUUGCAUUUCUUCUAGCUGAAGGGGCUGAAAUUGUCCUGGAUACUUUGGUGGUCAGGGGAGCAAGCUUGGAGCUGGGGGCAAGUUUGGUUGUGCAGGAACCAUCACUAGUGAUCAUUACAGCAUCCAUGCUGGCAGUUAAGCUAGAGAAUAUUGUGGCAGCAGGGAUGGCUACAGUGGAUUUGGUAAUGGUAGACACAGUCUUAGAGGUAGUGGAUUUGCCAUUUAUGGUGAUCAGUCUUCAGGCUUUCGAGCCAUGGAGGGUUUCUCUGUGUAGCCUGUCUCCUGUGAUGAUGGAGGCUACUCCUUUGCCAAACCCUGAGACACAAGUGGCUGUGGCACUUCCAGCAGUAGCAGCAGCUGUGGCGCUGGUAGGAUGUUUCCCUUUUGUUUUGGGUUUCGUUUUUUGGCUCUGUCACCUAGGCCAGCCUUACUCUCUCAGUCCUCUCUCCCCAGCCUCCCCCAGUUCUGGGGUCGCAGGCUGGGUCAGAGGAUGUUGGUUACUGCUAGAUACCAGCUUAGCAGAAAGGAAAGAUGGAGAAGUAACGGGAAGACACAGGCUACAAGAGUUUGAGCUCAGCCCAGCACAGGGGUGGCAAGGCCUGGCUGCUCUGGAAAGGACGUGCUUUAGACAGUGUUCAUGUAUGGGCAGGGAGCCCAAAGACUCUCAUGACUGUGUAGCAGCCAUUUUAAUUGCUGUUCUGUGGAAAGUUACUCCAGAACAUUCAAAAAAGGGCCUUUAAAGUAGUUGACUGUUUGCCCCUCCAUGCUGUUGAUUGUUGAUAUAAAUGAUGCGGCAUUGAAUAAAUAUGUCCUUAAACAUAAUUUUUAUUUAAAGAUGCCUAAAUUAGGGGUAUGGCUUAGUGGAAGAGUACUUGCCUAGCAAGCAAGCGGUGGUGAGAUUGUUCUCCAGCACUGCCAAGUCAAUUCGAAACCCAAACACAUGACCGAAAACAAACCCGAUGUCUUUAGCGGGGCAAUGAUCUUCAGUACAGUGGGAGCCCCUGGUAGAAAACUUGAGUACAGGAAUGCUGACGGGUCUCCUGUUAGGGUGGGCCUGCUCUGUAGCUCAGAAACUGUUAUGUCCACUUGAAACUGUUUUCAGAUUUUAGGAAAACAGUGAAAGGUUAUAAUGCUGACAGUGAUGUGUAGUUAUAGACAAUGAGAAAGUUAACUUGAUGCUAGUUGUACAACCAUCUAAUAAAUUUAAAAUAGUUAAAAUGAUAAAAUCUGUGUUGUUUAUAUUUUACUACAUAAAUAUACUAGCAUUGUUUAUAGUUUGGAGAGAUUUCAAGUCUAUUUUUUUCGUUUUGUUUUGUUGUUUUUGUUUUUUUGAGACAGGGUUUCUCUGUGUAGCCGUGGCUGUCCUGGAACUCACUCCGUAGACCAGGCUGGCCUCGAACUCAGAAAUUCGCCUGCCUCUGCCGCCCAAGCUAUUUUUUUCUAUUAAGUAACAAAAAAAUGAAUAGGCUUUCUCUGAAAAUUUGUUUCCUAAAGAGAGUUCCCAGGUAACAAUUUUAGAUUUUUUUUUUUUAUAAUUAUAUUUUCAUCAAAUGAAGCUGCCACUUGUCCUUCUUGUCUGCUUUGUAAGCAUGUUUUCCUUAAGCACAGAAGCAGGCAAGCAGGCAAAUGGCCCCUGCGGGGCGGCCAUGGGUGAAGCACAUGAGUAGAUUCUGCCUGCAGAUGCUGUCAACAGAUCAACUCACUUUUGUAGAAGAAACAAAGUAAGAGGGUUCUGUAGUCAUCCAGUGAGAUUGUGAUUCUUUCAGAUAACCAGAAUAAUAAGUUAAUCAAAGAUCAUUUCUAGAUAUACAUUUAUUAGAAAAAUUAAUUUGAACCUAAGUAGGAUAUUUUACAAAAUAAAAUAAAACUAAAUGCAUGAAAAGCUUAAUUAAUUAAUUAGUUAAUUAAUUAAUUUUAAAACCAUUAUUUUGCUUUAUUCCUCAUCCCUGUUUCUCCAUUGAGUUUGAACUGAAACUGUGAUUCUGUAAGCUCACUCGGGGAAACUGGUUGAUGUGUAUCUCUUCUCUUGCUAAGAGCUCCGCAUUGGGCUGUGUUUUCCUUGUUAUCUGGGCUGUCAGGGGGUUGAGCUUUGGGGAGAUUUCAGAUCAGACAAAAUGGCUUACCAACAUGACAUAAUUUAAAAAAUUAUUGUUUCUAUACACUCUUAUACUUAUUAAUAUCCUAUCUAGUCUUCAUUAAGAGUUUCAUUUAUUUAUCUUUUACACUUAUUAUGUGUGUGCAUUUGUGUGCGCGUGCGUGUGUGUGUGUGUGUGUGUGUGUGUUCCUGUGGAGGUCAGAGGGCAACUUGAAGGGGAGUCAGUUUUCUCUUCAAUAAUUUUCUAUACCAAAGUUCUAUAUAUUAGUAGUGAACAAUUUAAAAGUGCAAUGAAAAAAAGAAACAAUUCCAUUUUGAUCUAUUACUAGGAUUAAAAAAAAAUAGAACACUCGAGAGGCAGAGGCAGGCGGAUUUCUGAGUUGGAGGCCAUCCUGGUCUACAAAGUGAGUUCCAGGACAGCCAGGGCUACACAAGAAACCCUGUC
rnacentral:lncRNA from 1 species